UUUCCGUAGGUGAACCUGCGGAAGGAUCAUUAUUGAAUGAAACACUUCUGGCUUUAUGCUGUUGUGCUGGCCCUUUGGGCAAUGUGCACACGGCUCUGGUCACUUGUUUCUUCUGUUCCACCCGUGCACUGCCUGUAGACACGCUGUGUCUAUGAUAUUUGUUAACACACAACAAUGUUAGUUGGCAUGUUAUAUAUAAUAAUAAAAUAUACAACUUUCAACAACGGAUCUCUUGGCUCUCGCAUCGAUGAAGAACUCAUC
rnacentral:misc_RNA from 1 species